CCUACGGGUGGCAGCAGUGGGGAAUAUUUGGCAAUGGGCGCAAGCCUGACCCAGCAACGCCGCGUGAAGGAAGAAGGCUUUCGGGUUUUAAACUUCUUUUCUCAGGGACGCAGAAAGUGACGGUACCUGAGGAAUAAGCCACGGCUAACUACGUGCCAGCAGCCGCGGUAAUACGUAGGUGGCAAGCGUUAUCCGGAUUUAUGGGGUGGAAAGGGCGUGUAGGCGGGAGCGGAAGUCGGAUGUGAAAACUCAGGGCUCAACCCAGAGCCUGCAUAUGAAACUGUGUUUCUUGAGUGCUGGAGAGGCAAUCGGAAUUCCGGGUGUAGCAGUGAAAUGCGUAGAUAUACGGAGGAACACCAGUGGCGAAGGCGGAUUGCUGGACAGUAACUGACGCUGAGGCGCGAAGGCGUGGGGAGCAAAAGGGAUUAGAUACCCCGGUAGUC
rnacentral:rRNA from 1 species